GACGAACGCUGGCGGCGUGCUUAACACAUGCAAGUCGAGCGGUAAGGCCCUUUCGGGGGUACGACGAGCGGCGAACGGGUGAGUAACACGUGGGUGACCUGCCCUUAGCUCUGGGAAUAAGCCUGGGAAACUGGGUCUAAUACCGGAUAUGACUCCAUGACGCAUGUUGUGGGGUGGAAAGCCUUGUGCGGCUAGGGAUGGGCCCGCGGCCUAUCAGCUUGUUGGUGGGGUGAUGGCCACCAAGGCGACGACGGGUAGCCGGCCUGAGAGGGCGACCGGCCACACUGGGACGUGAGACACGGCCCAGACUCCUACGGGAGGGCAGCAGUGGGGAAGUCUUGCGCAAUGGGCGAAAGCCUGACGCAGCGACGCCGCGUGAGGGAUGACGGCCU
rnacentral:rRNA from 1 species